UACGGAAGGCAGCAGUGGGGAAUAUUGCACAAUGGGCGCAAGCCUGAUGCAGCCAUGCCGCGUGUAUGAAAAAGGCCUUCGGGUUGUAAAGUACUUUCAGUCGUGAGGAAGGUGUUAAGGUUAAUAACCUUAGCAAUUGACGUUAGCGACAGAAGAAGCACCGGCUAACUCCGUGCCAGCAGCCGCGGUAAUACGGAGGGUGCGAGCGUUAAUCGGAAUUACUGGGCGUAAAGGGCACGCAGGCGGUUAAUUAAGUUGGAUGUGAAAUCCCCGGGCUUAACCUGGGAAUGGCAUUCAAGACUGGUUAGCUAGAGUCUUGUAGAGGGGGUAGAAUUCCAUGUGUAGCGGUGAAAUGCGUAGAGAUGUGGAGGAAUACCGGUGGCGAAAGGCGGCCCCCUGGACAAAGGACUGACGCUCAUGUGCGAAAGCGUGGGGAGCAAACAGGGAUUAGAUACC
rnacentral:rRNA from 1 species